GUUGGUGGCGUGCUUAACACAUGCAAGUCGAAGCGAAAGAAGACUUCGGUCUUCGAGUAGAGUGGCGCACGGGUGAGUAACACGUGAGUAACAUACCUUUAGAUGGGGAAUAACUACUUGAAAAGGUAGCUAAUACCGCAUAGGACCACGGUGACUUAUGUCACAGUGGUGAAAGCUUUAUGCGUCUAAAGAUUGGCUCGCGGUCUAUUAGGUAGUUGGUGGGGUAAUGGCCUACCAAGCCCGAGAUAGAUAGCUGGUCUGAGAGGAUGAUCAGCCACACUGGAACUGAGACACGGUCCAGACUCCUGCGGGAGGCAGCAGUGGGGAAUAUUGCGCAAUGGGCGAAAGCCUGACGCAGCAACGCCACGUGUGUGAUUAAGGCCUUCGGGUCGUAAAGCACUGUUAGGAGGGAAGAAUUUUGACGGUACCUCCAGAGAAAGCACCGGCUAACUCCGUGCCAGCAGCCGCGGUAAUACGGAGGGUGCAAACGUUGCUCGGAAUCAUUGGGCGUAAAGCGUACGUAGGCGGCCCACCAAGUCUGAUGUGAAAGCCCGGGGCUCAACCUCGGAAUGCCAUUGGAAACUGGUGGACUUGAGAAUAGGAGGGGUAAGUGGUAUUUCUGGUGUAGGGGUGAAAUCCGUAGAGAUCAGAAGGAACACCGGUGGCGAAGGCGACUCACUGGACUAUUUCUGACGCUGAUGUACGAAAGCAUGGGGAGCAAACAGGAUUAGAUACCCCUGGUAGUCCAUGCCGUAAACGAUGUACACUAGUUGCUCCUUUCCUUAGCGAGAGGGGUGACGAAGCUAACGCAUUAAGUGUACCGCCUGGGGAGUACGGUCGCAAGAUUAAA
rnacentral:rRNA from 1 species